rnacentral:rRNA from 1 species
ACUCCUACGGGAGGCAGCAGUGGGGAAUAUUGCACAAUGGGGGAAACCCUGAUGCAGCCAUGCCGCGUGUGUGAAGAAGGCCUUCGGGUUGUAAAGCACUUUCAGUAGGGAGGAAGGUAGUGUAGUUAACACCUGCAUUAUUUGACGUUACCUACAGAAGAAGCACCGGCUAACUCCGUGCCAGCAGCCGCGGUAAUACGGAGGGUGCGAGCGUUAAUCGGAAUUACUGGGCGUAAAGCGCAUGCAGGCGGCCUGUUAAGUCAGAUGUGAAAGCCCGGGGCUUAACCUCGGAAUUGCAUUUGAAACUGGCAGGCUAGAGUCUUGUAGAGGGGGUUAGAAUUUCAGGUGUAGCGGUGAAAUGCGUAGAGAUCUGAAGGAAUACCAGUGGCGAAGGCGGCCCCCUGGACAAAGACUGACGCUCAGAUGCGAAAGCGUGGGAGCAAACAGGAUUAGAUACCCCUGGUAGACUGUCA